ACAUUAUCUUUUCAUUCCCUUUUUCAUUUGAUAGAUACUGUAGAUAACAAAUAGAGGGCAGCCAAUCAGAGAUGAAUAACAAUGUUUAUGAUACUUUUGUGGCUAUUGGAGCUCCACAUGUGAGAUCGAGAUAAACACAUCUUUUUGUGGGUACCUAUUUACUUCUUCUCUAUCAUUUUCUAACUUCACACACACACUAACAUUAACACAAAACCCUAUCUUCAUCACUAAAUCAUCUCUUUCAUCAUAAUCUAUCUGCAUCUAAAAAGUAAAUCCAUCCAUCAUCUUCACCUUUAUCACUCCUUCUACAAAACCUACUAAUCAUUUUCAUAUAAACAAUAAAGAUUCAUUAUUUUUUAAGAAUUUGGGUCUUGGAGUAUUGUGAGAGUUGAAGAAGAAGAAGAUUGUUAUCCAUUUCAUCCAUGGAUUUGAUUUUGCUAUUUAAAGGAAGCAAAAGGUCCGGCAUAUGAUGGGGAUUUUACAUCAAGCAUUAGUUUAGGUGUGCAUAUGAUGGGAGUUAAAUUGACUCACUUCUUGUGUGUGGAUUAAAAGACUUUCUUUGAAGCAUUUCUUUGAAUGAAUUUCUACUGUAUACAAAAAAACUUCUCAUAUGAAUGACAUUUUAAUUUAACUUUAAAGACUGUGAUAUACAUAUAUUCUGUAGACCUCAAACUCUCAAGGUGGGUAUUUGAACCGAAAAUCUAAUGAUAAAGUUUUGGGCUGUUUGUAUGGGUUUUUUUGGUUUCAGAUUUUAUGUGACGUUUUUAAAAGGAUUUGUAUGAGUUUUGGGUUGUUUUUUUCAGAGAGAUAUUUUGGAUGAGUUUGGAUUGGUUUAUGCCCAAGCCCUUAGACGUAAGAUUGCUCCACCUAUUACAGCUAAUGUGGACUACCAGUCAAAGAACUUACCGGCAAAACUUCAUAUUGAUGCAGAAGAUCCCAAGAAUGUGGUUAGCCUGUUUAUAAAGUUUUCUUUCUACCGUCCAAAUGUAUAUCUUACAGAUAACAAGGUGGGUGGUUUAGAUAAUGGGUCAAAAUGGGUUUGGGUCAUAGCAGGUUCUGGUAUAUGUCAAACAGGCCAGGUUGGGUUGACGAGAAGCGUGUUUUUAGAAGUAGCUUUCUGACUUCUUUUACAGAUAAUCAGUACAUCAUAUACUAUAUGCAUGUUGUUUUUUGACAUCAGUAAUAUUAGAGUGGUUAAUUAUAUCUAUAUAUGCAGGUUAAACCUA